AUGUCCCCUUGUAUCACACACCUUUCAUUGAGGGGGGGGGGGGGCUUCUGCUGUGCUGCUAUCUGUUUUGGUCAAGGCAUCAUAUUUCUCUGCUGGGAAUCUAAGCAAUAUUCAGGAACCAGGCUCUGUGAAGUUCAGUUAUCCUACUCGGACUCUGGCUGUGUGCAUCCCAAUGGCACCCUAUUCCCUCCCCACUGGCCACAGACGUCAGUUCAACGUCGAGUUUUGAUUUACAUUUGGUUGAGUUUGUCAACUACCGUGGAAUUAGCAACAACAAAACAAACAAUGUCACUGUUGUCAUUGGGUUUCAGAUUAAAAGUUUGGUGAAAAAAAAAAAAGUCAGUUGAUUGAUUCACGUCAUCAAGUUGCAUUUUGGGUUGAAAUAACGUGGAAAACACUUUGAUCCAACACUUUUUUGUUGUUUUUUGUCCACUGGUCAUAAUUCACUACUUCUGACCAGGGCCCAUAGGGAUCUGGUUCAAAGUAGUGCACUAUAUAGGGAAUAGGGUGUCAUUUGACAUGGCCAUAGGGAUCUGGUUCAAAUAGUGCACUAUAUUUUUUGAAUAGGGUGCCAUUUGACCAGGGCCCAUAGGGAUCUGGUUCAAGUAGUGCACUAUAUUAGGGAAUAGGGUGUCAUUUGGGAACGUACUCUCUUAACAGGAUCCAUAAUACAGUGUUUCACAGCAGUAGCAACACAGCCCUCUAGCUAGAGAUUUGAACAGGGCUGGGUCACUCUGAUAUUCUGGCAUGUCUGGCAAACCAGCAUCUGAUUUAGACUGAAACGGGAAACCAGUGUGGUUGUGUGUGUGUGUGUGUGUGUGUGUGUGUGUGUGUGUGUGUGUGUGUGUGUUGUGUGUGUGUGUGUGUGUGUGUGUGUGUGUGUGUGUGUGUGUGUGUGUGUGUGUGUGUGUUGUGUGUGUGUGUGUGGUUUAAGUGUCGACAGGAGAUAGAACCCGCAGGCAACCAAGUUCCUGAGGAUAAAAUCUUGACCUUUCCUGGCUAAGAACAUCUGUCUUAAAGCUGCAUGGUCCUGCUCCUCACUCACUGGUGUCCCGGAGUAGCCACAAAACACACACACAGUCGCUAUUGAACUGCCGUGGUGAUGUUGUCGAAAAAACAGGAGACACAGGAAACCACCACCAGACCCUCUUAGUCGAUCACAGCACCCAGACCCCCCUCAGUCGAUCACAGCACCCAGACCCCCUCAGUCGAUCACAGCACCCAGACCCCUCAGUCGAUCACAGCACCCAGACCCCUCAGUGAUCACAGCACCCAGACCCCCUCAGUCGAUCCAACACAGCACCCAGACCCCCUCAGUCGAUCACAGCACCCAGACCCCCUCAGUCGAUCACAGCACCCAGACCCCCUCAGUCGAUCCACAGCACCCAGACCCCCUCAGUCGAUCCCAGAGCAGCGGUGUUGUUCUACAAGCAGCAUUGCUAACUCAGGCUAUAUCCAUUCUAGAUGAUUAUGAUGAUGAGAAUUGAACUGACAAAUGAACAGAAGAUUCCUGAGUGUGAAAUCCCUUGUGAAGAGGACCUGAGAGAGACAGACAGCCAUGGGACUGUACAUGAGGCCAUUCAGAACCAUGGGGAUUGAUACAGACAUGGGGAUUGAUACAGAUGUGAUAUGCAUUCAGAACACCUGGGGUUGAACAGAUGUGGUAUGCAUUGUAAAUCUGAUGAGGAAUAAAACUUGAAUAAAUGUUCACCAUGACGGACACAACUGAAUGUCAUCUCGUGUCUGUCCAAUUUUAAAAUGAUCUUCAGCCUUGCAUAUGGCACCCUAUUCCCUAUGGCCCUGGUCCAACUGGCACCUCUUCCUUGGGCCCUGGUCAAAUGCUACCCUUUCCCUAUGGGCCUAGUCAAACGCACCCUAUUCCUAUGGGCCCUAGUCAAAUGGCACCCUAUUCCCUAUGGGCCCUGGUUAAAUGGCACCCUAUUCCCUAUGGGCCCUAGUCAAAUGGCACCCUAUUCCCUAUGGGCCCUGGUUAAAUGGCACCCUAUUCCUAUGGCCUAGUCAAAUUGGCACCCUAUUCCUAUGGGCCCUAGUCAAAAUGGCACCCCUCUUCCUAUGGGCCCUAGUCAAAUGGCACCCUAUUCCCUAUGGGGCCUAGUCAAAUGGCACCCUAUUCCCUAUGGGCCCUAGUCAAAUGUAGUGCACUACAUAGAGAAUAGUGUGCCAUUUGGGACACAUCCCUUUACUACAUAGUGAAGUGGGGAGAUGAACAGGAGAAGUCAGGUUUUUGCACCUUUAACAUUUUGCCUGUGGACCGUCAUUGAACGGAGUCUGUAGAGAUGAUGUAAUGAUGCUCGCCUAUUCAACAGAGGGCGCUGUGAACAUAGGUGAUAUUGAUCCUCAGAGCAGUGGUAGGCUACAGAUUGAGGAAUUGCAUUAUCUGCAGCUAAGGACAAAUGUUGAUUGGCUCC
ensembl:lncRNA